rnacentral:lncRNA from 10 species
AUUUUAGAUAAAAGAGGAGUGGAACACUUCCUCCUAGUAGUUCUAGCCCAUGAGGCCAACAGGACUUCAAAGUUAACUUUUCCCAAAGAGGCAGCCUCCUGUGGGCCUUAAGAAUGUGGAUUUAGGAGCAGACUGUCAGUGCAGAUUUCCUGACCUACUCCCCAGAAAUUGUAAUUUACUAGAGCCGGAGGGAGCCCAGAGAUUGGAAAAUUUUAGGGCAGAGUGCAGAGGGCCAACUGCUACAUCUUCCAGCCAAACCUAGCUCUCUCUGCACAUUUUCACCAAUACCAGGAGCAAAUGAGCUAAUCAUCAUCACAAUGUAUCUGAAGUACCGAAGGAUGUAAUUCCAGGAACCAGUGCAAACACGAUGGUGCACUUGGAGGUGAAAGCAGAGUUCAUGGCUCUGAUCUGAGCUUAAUGCAGCUCAUUAUCACCUAGCUUUAAAGAAAACUCUAAGAAGAAGGCAUGGGAGAAGAGGAAGAGGAACUGGGUCCAUGAAAUGAGUUGACAUGAGAAGACUGCAGCAGUAGAGAGAUGGCAGAAACUAGACAUGGUCCUCUUGCAUCUUCCGAAGCACAGAAUGCCAAAAAGAAUGGUCUGUCUGCCAGCAAAACUGACAGAGAUUGCAAGUGGCUAUGGGGCAGAUUUCCAUGGAGGGAAGGCUCUGAACAUAGCUGGCAAGUGAAACUGAUGCUGAUAGCCCUGGGGGAGCUACAACUGGAUCUUGAAAGGAUUAGACACUGACUCUGGAGUCAGCUUUGCUUACCCCGUGAUAGGUGCAAAUGCUCAGAAUGCUUUAAAGAACCCAAACAGAGGAUGUUACACCAGUAUGGACUGACAAACCAUAUUUAUUCAGACCAAGGAACAGACUUUACAGCCUGUAAUGUCUAACAAUGGGCAGAGACACCCUCCUCAGAAUAAUAGUGUGCUAGAGAAGUGUAACGGGCAAAUGAAACAUUGGUUGUUUAAAGCAAGGGGAGAUAAAGCCACAAAGGGCUGGCGUACAUGCCUUUACAGUGUGUGGGUCACACUCAAUAUGAGUGGGACUAAAGGAGUGUCCCCGCUAGAUAGAUUCUUUCUUUUUCUGGUGCGUGUGGGGAAGAG